CCUACGGGAGGCAGCAGUAGGGAAUCUUCCACAAUGGGCGAAAGCCUGAUGGAGCAACGCCGCGUGGGUGAAGAAGGUCUUCGGAUCGUAAAACCCUGUUGUUAGAGAAGAAAGUGCGUGAGAGUAACUGUUCACGUUUCGACGGUAUCUAACCAGAAAGCCACGGCUAACUACGUGCCAGCAGCCGCGGUAAUACGUAGGUGGCAAGCGUUAUCCGGAUGUAUUGGGCGUAAAGGGAACGCAGGCGGUCUUUUAAGUCUGAUGUGAAAGCCGUCGGCUUAACCGGAGUAGUGCAUUGGAAACUGGGAGGCUUGAGUGCAGGAGAGGAGGGUGGAACUCCAGGUGUAGCGGUGAAAUGCGUAGAUAUAUGGAAGAACACCGGUGGCGAAGGCGGCUCUCUGGUCUGUAACUGACGCUGAGGUUCGAAAGCGUGGGUAGCAAACAGGAGUAGAUACCCCGGUAGUC
rnacentral:rRNA from 1 species